CCUACGGGUGGCAGCAGUGGGGAAUAUUGCACAAUGGGGGAAACCCUGAUGCAGCGACGCCGCGUGAGUGAAGAAGUAACUCGUUAUGUAAAGCUCCAUCAGCAGGGAAGAAAAUGACGGUACCUGAGUAAGAAGCCCCGGCUAACUACGUGCCAGCAGCCGCGGCAAUACGGAGGGGGCAAGCGUUAUCCGGAUUUACUGGGGGUAAAGGGAGCGUAGACGGUAGUGCCAGUCUGGAGGGAAAGGCGGGGGCUCAACCCCCGGACUGCUCUGGAAACUGUACGGCUGGAGUGCAGGAGAGGGAAGUGGAAUUCGUAGUGUAGCGGUGAAAUGCGUAGAUAUUGGGCGGAACACCAGUGGCGAAGGCGGCUUACUGGACUGUAACUGACGUUGAGGCUCGAAAGCGUGGGGAGCGAACAGGAUUAGAUACCCCUGUAGUC
rnacentral:rRNA from 1 species